UACAGAGGUCCCAAGCGUUGUUCGGAUUCAUUGGGCGUAAAGGGUGCGUAGGCGGCGCCGUAAGUCGGAUGUGAAAUCUCGGGGCUCAACCCUGAAACUGCAUUCGAUACUGCGGUGCUAGAGGACUGGAGAGGAAACUGGAAUUCACGGUGUAGCAGUGAAAUGCGUAGAUAUCGCGAGGAAGACCUGUGGCGAAGGCGGGUUUCUGGACAGUUCCUGACGCUGAGGCACGAAGGCCAGGGGAGCAAACGGG
rnacentral:rRNA from 1 species